rnacentral:rRNA from 1 species
AGUGAACGCUGGCGGUAGGCCUAACACAUGCAAGUCGAACGGCAGCACAGUAAGUGCUUGCUCUUACGGGUGGCGAGUGGCGGACGGGUGCGUAAUACAUCGGAACCUACUUUUUCGUGGGGGAUAACGUAGGGAAACUUACGCUAAUACCGCAUACGACCUACGUGUGAAAGCAGGGGAUCUUCGGACCUUGCGCGAUUGAAUGAGCCGAUGUCGGAUUAGCUAGUUGGCGGGGUAAAGGCCCACCAAGGCGACGAUCCGUAGCUGGUCUGAGAGGAUGGUCGGCCACACGGGAACUGAGACACGGUCCAGACUCCUACGGGAGGCAGCAGUGGGGAAUAUUAGGCAAUGGGCGCAAGCCUGAUCCAGCCAUACCGCGUGGGUGAAGAAGGCCUUCGGGUUGUAAAGCCCUUUUGUUGGGAAAGAAAAGCAGCAGGUUAAUACCCCGCUGUUCUGACGGUACCCAAAGAAUAAGCACCGGCUAACUUCGUG